AAAUCAGCUACUUUUCUUUACACCAUCAAAUUCACUUUACUUCUCAGUGUCUUUUCAUAUGAAGUCCAGACGUACUUGGUCUCAUGUUUCUGUUGGUUAUCAUUGUUUUUCACUGUUACAAAUCCCUUGACAUGCCACUGUAAAGUCAUAGAAGCCAUUACCAAAUCAUUGUCAAAAACAUUCCAGAUAGGGACGCCUGGGUGGCACAGUCAGUUAAGCAACCUACUCUUGGUUUCAGCACAGGUUGGGACCUUGGAGUCAUGUGAUCAAGCCCUGCAUGGGCAUUCAUGCUCAGGGUGGAGUCUGCUUGGAAUUCUCUCUGUCUCCCUCUGCUUCUCUCUAAAAGUGGAUAAAGAAAUCUUAAAAAAUAAAAGAUUUCAAAUGGAGUCUCCAAACACUAUCAACCAUACUGCUCUAGGAAAGAUAAGGGAACUAUCCUCCUGACAAAAUGAUCACAUCCUACCACUAGAACAGGUUUCCUUCACAGAACAGACAUUGAGACCUAAAAUACAACCAACUCAGUUCUGCUUAAAGCACAAAAAUAUUAUUUGGUAAGAGCGUGAUCUUCACCAGCUCAUUUGUUUUUCCAAUGUAGACUUCAGUUCACCUGAGAUGUUUUAAAUAGAUACCAAAAGCAUUCUGAAAAAUUCUCCUGCUGUCCAAUCAAAUAUAAUAACAGACUGUUGUCUUUCUAGAAAAGGAAUUGGCAAACUGUGGCUACAGCACCAGUGAUUGGAACACAGCCAUUCCCAUUCAGGUAUCUAUUGUCUACAGUUUCUUUUGCACUCCAAUCACGCUGUUGGGUAGAUGCAACGGAAAUUAAGUGGCCCAGAAAACCUAAAUAUUUUUCCCUGGUACUUUACAGAGAAGGUUUGCCAGCCUGUAUUUUGAAAUAACUUUACUGUGGCAUUUGAAAAGGUACCACAUUUUUAAAAAUUCAUUUUCCUAUUUUUUAAUUUAAUUUUUUAAGGGAUUUUAUUUAUUUAUUUGAGAGAGAGAGAGAGAGAGAGAGCAAGGGAGCAUGGGGGGAGAGGCACAGAGGGAGAAGGAGAAACAGACUCCCCGCUGAGUGGGGGGCUGGAUGCGGGGGCUCAAUCCCAGGACCCUGAGGUCAUGACCUCAGCCAAACACAUAUGCUUAACUGACUGAGCCACCCAGGCGUCCCUUUUUUAUUUUGAUUAAAAAAAAAAAAAAGGUCUUAGUUAAAAAGAGUCUUAUGUAAACUAAUAAACUUAAUUGCUCUCCACUGCA
rnacentral:lncRNA from 12 species